UUUUUCCCUUCAACGGUAGAUUUAUGUUAAAGCAUGAAUAUAUAUUUUUUUUUCCUUCUUAUUUUUUCAUUAUGAGGAGUACUUCUAAUUGGAAGAGGAUUCUUGAUUGACAAAGAAUUUGUUUAUCUUUUUUAUUAUUAUUUUUUUCCUUUUUGGAUUUUUCCCCCUUAUUGGGAUAUUGUUGAUUUGGGAAUUUGUCAAAUGUUGUUUUGUAUAAUUUUUUUCAAAAGAGAAUAAACUGAACUAAGAAUAUAUUGUACCUGAAAGAGCAUGCACGCUAGAAAUCAAAGGUUGAUGGAGAAGAGGGUGAAACUUGUCAAAAACAAACAAUGCCUAGAUGUCUAUGUCAAAGGGUAGUGCGCUUUCUCAAUCUCUCCUAGUCUUAUAUAGGCGAAAUUGCAUACAUCAAAAAUGGAAGGGAGCAAUGGAAAUCAUUCUUCUACAACAAACUUGACAUGUUUUGAUGUAGCUUCAACACAACCCCAAAAUAAUUGUCCCUAAAUAUUUCACCCUCGAAAUAAAGGCCAAAGCUCAGAAUCAAAGCAUAAAAAUGAGUUUUUGUUCAGUGAGAAAACUCAUUUUUGUUGAUUUUUAGCUCUCCCCCCUCUCUUUCUCUCUCUGAGAAAACUCAAAGAGCUGAGGCGCGGUGGUUGACGAUCAGCUUCGACGAUGAUCUCACCGACUAUCUCAUCUCCAACGACUAGCAGAGGCGCAAUGUCAGCAAUCUCAGCUCCGCCACUUCUUCAUCAGAUUACAGAUCUCUCUGAUCUAUUUAACUCUCUGUUAGUUUAUUAAUUUACUAGUUUAAUUGAGAAAAUUUUGUGUGAAUUCAAUAGAUUUGUUAAUUACAUUUGAGAAAAUUUUGUGUGAAUUCUACAUUUGUUAAUUACACUGUGGAGCCAAUGAAUUUGGGGGAACUCACUUUGCUCAAGGUAACUUUUCUCUUUUUCUCUGUUUGUUUACUGAGAAAAUGAAUGAAAAUUUCAUGCUUAUGUUGAAGCUUGGUGGUUAAUGUCUAUAUGCCUUUGAUUUCAGAAAGAGCAACAAUUUUACCCUAGAAAAUUAAAGGAAAAUUAAAGAGGAACAAAUAUAAUACAAGAAUUAAAACUCUGAAUAGUUUGUUAUUGAAUAAUCGAUCUUUGAUUGUAGCAUUCUAUUGUCCAUUGGAUAUUGGAAUAAAUGUGUUCUUGUUGUGAAUCUUGUAGUUUCAGUAGAAUGCGAAAACUUGUGUAGCUUUAUGUUUGAAUCUUACUUGCAAAGCAUUGCAAUGAGUCUGAAACUUCUUGGCAAGGUCUGAUCAUAUUUGUGGAUUUCAAAUUUCUGAUUAUGGAUUGCAAUCUUUAGUUUUCAUCUUCGUAAAAAUGUCUCUCUUAAAUGGUAAGUCUUUUCAGGCCACUUACCAAAGGAAAUUGCUGAUUACUUUAAUAAGAUGGGUGCAAGGAUACCAAUCAAAAAACCUGGGAAGGCUACCAUAGAAGACCUCACAAAGAUUCAAGCAUCAACUCGUUUUUGGAGUAUGUAUUUCUUUCAAAGAGAGUAUUUAUGAGAAAUCUUGGUAACAGUCCGCUGAAUAACUAGUUAAGUGAUAUGUUUGGAAAACUUUCAAAACUGAAAGAGAUUGAAGAUGUCUAAAGUGGGGCAAAGUACUGAUUUGUGUUAUAAGGCAACAGAGGAGAGGUGCAAAAACUAAGGGGGCAUACAUCAUCCUGGAACCUCCUAACUUUGAUAAUCAAAAGUUUCUCACCUUUGAAGCAGUUACUCCAAGGUCAAAGGUAUUGAUAGUUUGACAAGACAUGAAGAUGAAAUCAAGAAAGAUUGCAUCUCAAUGUGCUUAGCAAGUUGCUACUCUACACUUUUUUCCUCGGAAAUUUUUUUCAUACCUUAUACACCAAGACAUAGCGUUAUUGGGUUAUUCGGCUCAAAAGUUACAUAUUGUAAUUAUAGCAUUAGUGGGGGUUUUAAAAAGUGCAAUAUGAAACUGGGUUUUUGGUAAAAACUGAGUGUUUGGUAAAA